UUGAUAGCCCUGGAGACUGCAGUCCUCUACCCACAGAAUAGGUACAGCAUGAGCAGUGGCAGUGCAAGCCUCACUUUAGCUGUUUAGCAGAUGUACCUAAACUCUGACUUGAAAGGAUCACCUCUAGGAACAAAAGGGAACUUUGGCUUCAUGGCCCAUGUAGAUCCUUGGGCAGU
rnacentral:sRNA from 1 species